AAGGGCUCUGGUGACGAUACCAUUCAGGAGCCGGAGCAAUAAAUGAGCGAGUUGGACGCCACAUAAGCACUGAGUUUUUUAAAAGACACACAGACUAUGGAGCGCAGCCAAAAUGCCAGGAACAAAAGGCAACAAAUCUGACAAGAAAUCAGCUACCAAGCAACCUCAGAGUCCUAAGGAGCAACCGAAGAAAGCUGAUCAGAAAGGAGAUAACAAAAAGCAAGGAGGACAGCCGAAGGGAGAGAAGCAAUAAUUUCCAGGUAUUUGUAAAGAUGGCUCUGGAGACUCUGCUGGGAUCCUGCCAUCACAAGCAUGGGGGUCCUCGGGGUAGACAAGGCUGAAGAACCUCCCUUGGACCUGCAGACAGGCCAUCGCUACACAACUACACUCAUCUCUUCUCACAAGGGCAGAAAGUGACCCACAUUUCCAUCCAUCAGUGAUCCACUGGGUAUGCCCUUUCUUCCCACCCUGUUUCCCCUCCCUCAGUCUGCUCUGGAUUGUAGGAAGCUUGGAAAUGGAUGGUCACGAGGUCAAACUCAACCAAUGAUCUGAGCUUCCCGAGAAACUGAAACCUUCAUCUACCCAAUUGUUCCCUCUCUUCCCACCCAAAGUUCCUUAUUUUGAUCAACUAACAGUCCAAACCAUUCUUGUAAAUAAGCAAAUAAACUAUUAUUUCCUAAAACA